UUUAUUCUUUUUUUUGUCUCCUCUGACUGUGUAUUUUCAAAUAGCCUGUAUUCAAGCUCACUAAAUUCUUUUUUCUGCUUGAUCAGUUCUGCUAUUAAAAGGCUCUGAUGCAUUCUUCAGUAUGCCAAUUGUGUUUUUAAACUCCAGAAUUUCUGCUUGCUCCUUUAUAAUUAUUUCAAUUUCUUUGUUAAAUGUAUCUAAAUUCCUUCUCUGUGUUAUCUUGAAUUUCUUUGAGUUUCCUCAGAACAGCAAUUUUGAAUUGUGUGUCUAAAAGGUCACAUACCUCUGUUUCUCCAGGUUUUGUCCUUGGUGUUUUAUUUAGUUUUUUGGUGAGGUCAUGUUUUUUUGGAUGGUGUUGAUGCUUGUGGAUGUUUGUGUAUGUCUGCGCAUCAAAAAGUUAGGGAUUUAUUAUAGUCUUCACAGUCUGGGCUUAUUUGUGCCUGUCCUUCUUAGGAAGGCUUUCCAGGUAUUCCAAAGGACUUGGGUGUUGUGAUCUAAGCUGUAUCUAUAUUAGGGGGCACCCCAAGCCAGUGACACUCUGUUUCUUGCAGACUUAUAGAGGUACCACCUUGAUGGUCUUAGGUAAGAUCCAGAAGAAUUCUCUGGAUUACCAGGCAGAGACUCUUGUUCUCUUCUUUUGCUUUCUCCCAAACGAAUAGUCUGUCUCUCUCUCUCUCCCCACCUCCUCUUUCUGUUGUGAGCCACCUGGAGCUGGGAGUGUUGUGACACAAGCACCCCUGUGGCCACCACCACUAUUACUGUGCUGGUCAGAAACCGGGACAGCAUUGGGUCUCUUCCAAUGCCUGCUGUUACCACUACCUGGCUACCACUACGUUUGCUCAAGCCCUUGGGCUCCAUAAUCGGCAGGUGGCAAAGCCAGCCAGGCUUGUAUCCUUCCCUUCAGGAUGACAAGUUCCCCCAGACUGUAGAUAGCUCCAGAGGUGCCAUCCAGGGGCCAGGGUCUGGAGUCAAACACUUUAACUGCUUGGUGUUCUAUUGUACUGCAGCUGAGCUGGAACUGAAACCACAUGUGAGAUAGUCUUUCCCACUCUUCCUCCCCUUUCUAUAGGAAGAGGAGUCAAACCUUGUGGCCAUGACCACCACAGGCCCAUGAGAAGUACUUCCAGUCUACUGGUGAUGUUUACUUAAGGCCCAAGGGCUCUUCAGUUGGCUUGUGGACAGCACUGAGUUCAAUACAAUGUCUCACCCUCCUUUUCCCAAGCACACGGAUUUUCUCUCCACUCCAUGCAGCCACUGCUGGGUGUUGAGGGAGGGGUGGCAUCAGUGAUUCAAGACUGUCUUUCCUACCAUCUUCAAUGCUUCUUUCAGUGAUAUGAAGUUAAAACCAGGUACUGUGAGUGCUCACCUAAUUUUGAGUUCUUAUGAAGGUGUUUGUUUUGUGUAGAUAGUUUUUUGUUUGUUUUUAAGACAGGGUCUUGCUCUGUUGCUCAGUCUGGAGUGCAAUGGUUCAAUUAUAGCUCAGUGCAGCCUCAACCUCUCAGGCUCAAUAGAUCCUCCCACCUCAGCCUCCUGAGUAGCUGGGAGCUGUGACUACAGAUGCACAUCACUCACCUAG
rnacentral:lncRNA from 1 species